rnacentral:tRNA from 1 species
GGCACAAUAGCGUAGUGGCUAGUGCCUCUCGCUUCCUCCUAGGAGAUCCAGGGAUCAAGUCCCAGCGGAUCCA